rnacentral:rRNA from 1 species
UCCGGUUGAUCCCGCCGGACCCCACUGCUAUCGAGGUGGGACUAAGCCAUGCCAGUCGAACGACCCGGACUAUGGCGGGGAGUGGCAGACUGCUCAGUAACACGUAGCUAACCUACCCUCGGGACGGGGAUAACCCCGGGAAACUGGGGCUAAUACCCGAUAGGUAUGGAUUCCUGGAAUGGUGCCAUGCUUAAACGUAAGCACAUCCAUGUUUGUGUGCACGCCCGAGGAUGGGGCUGCGGCCGAUCAGGCAGUUGGUGAGGUAACGGCUCACCAAACCUUUGACCGGUACGGGCCAUGAGAGUGGUAGCCCGGAGAUGGGCACUGAGACAAGGGCCCAGGCCCUACGGGGCGCAGCAGGCGCGAAACCUCCACAAUUCACGCAAGUGAGAUGGGGUUACCUCGAGUGCUAUCUGAAGAAGGUGGCUUUUCCAUGGUGUAAUGAGCCGUGGGAAUAAGGGGGGGGCAAGACUGGUGUCAGCCGCCGCGGUAACACCAGCCCCCCGAGUGGUGGGGAUGAUUAUUUGGCCUAAAGCGUCCGUAGCCAGCUCGGUAAAUCUCUCGUUAAAUCCAGCGUCCUAAGCGUUGGGCUGCGAGGGAAACUGCCGAACUAGAGGGUGGGAGAGGUCAGCGGUAUUCCUGGGGUAGGGGCGAAAUCCAUUGAUCCCAGGAGGACCACCAGUGGCGAAGGCUGCUGACUAGAACACGCCUGACGGUGAGGGACGAAAGCUGGGGUAGCGAAUCGGAUUAGAUACCCGAGUAGUCCCAGCCGUAAACGAUGCAGGCUAGGUGUUGGGUCGGCCAUGCGCCGCCUCAGUGCCACAGGGAAGCCAUUAAGCCUGCCGCCUGGGGAGUACGGCCGCAAGGCUGAAACAUAAAGGAAUUGGCGGGGGAGCACCACCAGGCGUGAAGCCUGCGGUUUAAUUGGAGUCAACGCCGGAAA